rnacentral:rRNA from 1 species
AAGCUGAACCCUCUAGACAGACUGCCGAGGAUAACUCGGAGGAAGGCGGGGAUGACGUCAAAUCAUCAUGCCCCUUAUGAUCUGGGCUACACACGUGCUACAAUGGCUGGUACAACGGGCAGCGAAAGAGCGAUCUGGAGCCAAUCCUAAAAAGCCAGUCCCAGUUCGGAUUGUAGGUUGAAACUCGCCUACAUGAAGUUGGAGUUGCUAGUAAUCGCGGAUCCGAAUGGCGCGGUGAAUGCGUUCCCGGGUCUUGUACACACCGCCCGUAACGCCAUGGAAGUUCGGGGGUCGUCCCGAGAGCACAGUG